rnacentral:rRNA from 1 species
UUAAGCGACUAAGCGUACACGGUGGAUGCCCUGGCAGUCAGAGGCGAUGAAGGACGUGCUAAUCUGCGAUAAGCGUCGGUAAGGUGAUAUGAACCGUUAUAACCGGCGAUUUCCGAAUGGGGAAACCCAGUGUGAUUCGUCACACUAUCAUUAACUGAAUCCAUAGGUUAAUGAGGCGAACCGGGGGAACUGAAACAUCUAAGUACCCCGAGGAAAAGAAAUCAACCGAGAUUCCCCCAGUAGCGGCGAGCGAACGGGGAGCAGCCCAGAGCCUGAAUCAGUGUGUGUGUUAGUGGAAGCGUCUGGAAAGGCGCGCGAUACAGGGUGACAGCCCCGUACACAAAAAUGCACAUGCUGUGAGCUCGAUGAGUAGGGCGGGACACGUGGUAUCCUGUCUGAAUAUGGGGGGACCAUCCUCCAAGGCUAAAUACUCCUGACUGACCGAUAGUGAACCAGUACCGUGAGGGAAAGGCGAAAAGAACCCCGGCGAGGGGAGUGAAAAAGAACCUGAAACCGUGUACGUACAAGCAGUGGGAGCACAGAGCAAUCUGUGUGACUGCGUACCUUUUGUAUAAUGGGUCAGCGACUUAUAUUCUGUAGCAAGGUUAACCGAAUAGGGGAGCCGAAGGGAAACCGAGUCUUAACUGGGCGUUAAGUUGCAGGGUAUAGACCCGAAACCCGGUGAUCUAGCCAUGGGCAGGUUGAAGGUUGGGUAACACUAACUGGAGGACCGAACCGACUAAUGUUGAAAAAUUAGCGGAUGACUUGUGGCUGGGGGUGAAAGGCCAAUCAAACCGGGAGAUAGCUGGUUCUCCCCGAAAGCUAUUUAGGUAGCGCCUCGUGAAUUCAUCUCCGGGGGUAGAGCACUGUUUCGGCAAGGGGGUCAUCCCGACUUACCAACCCGAUGCAAACUGCGAAUACCGGAGAAUGUUAUCACGGGAGACACACGGCGGGUGCUAACGUCCGUCGUGAAGAGGGAAACAACCCAGACCGCCAGCUAAGGUCCCAAAGUCAUGGUUAAGUGGGAAACGAUGUGGGAAGGCCCAGACAGCCAGGAUGUUGGCUUAGAAGCAGCCAUCAUUUAAAGAAAGCGUAAUAGCUCACUGGUCGAGUCGGCCUGCGCGGAAGAUGUAACGGGGCUAAACCAUGCACCGAAGCUGCGGCAGCGACGCUGAUGCGUUGUUGGGUAGGGGAGCGUUCUGUAAGCCUGCGAAGGUGUGCUGUGAGGCAUGCUGGAGGUAUCAGAAGUGCGAAUGCUGACAUAAGUAACGAUAAAGCGGGUGAAAAGCCCGCUCGCCGGAAGACCAAGGGUUCCUGUCCAACGUUAAUCGGGGCAGGGUGAGUCGACCCCUAAGGCGAGGCCGAAAGGCGUAGUCGAUGGGAAACAGGUUAAUAUUCCUGUACUUGGUGUUACUGCGAAGGGGGGACGGAGAAGGCUAUGUUGGCCGGGCGACGGUUGUCCCGGUUUAAGCGUGUAGGCUGGUUUUCCAGGAAAAUCCGGAAAAUCAAGGCUGAGGCGUGAUGACGAGGCACUACGGUGCUGAAGCAACAAAUGCCCUGCUUCCAGGAAAAGCCUCUAAGCAUCAGGUAACAUCAAAUCGUACCCCAAACCGACACAGGUGGUCAGGUAGAGAAUACCAAGGCGCUUGAGAGAACUCGGGUGAAGGAACUAGGCAAAAUGGUGCCGUAACUUCGGGAGAAGGCACGCUGAUAUGUAGGUGAAGUCCCUCGCGGAUGGAGCUGAAAUCAGUCGAAGAUACCAGCUGGCUGCAACUGUUUAUUAAAAACACAGCACUGUGCAAACACGAAAGUGGACGUAUACGGUGUGACGCCUGCCCGGUGCCGGAAGGUUAAUUGAUGGGGUUAGCGCAAGCGAAGCUCUUGAUCGAAGCCCCGGUAAACGGCGGCCGUAACUAUAACGGUCCUAAGGUAGCGAAAUUCCUUGUCGGGUAAGUUCCGACCUGCACGAAUGGCGUAAUGAUGGCCAGGCUGUCUCCACCCGAGACUCAGUGAAAUUGAACUCGCUGUGAAGAUGCAGUGUACCCGCGGCAAGACGGAAAGACCCCGUGAACCUUUACUAUAGCUUGACACUGAACAUUGAGCCUUGAUGUGUAGGAUAGGUGGGAGGCUUUGAAGUGUGGACGCCAGUCUGCAUGGAGCCGACCUUGAAAUACCACCCUUUAAUGUUUGAUGUUCUAACGUUGACCCGUAAUCCGGGUUGCGGACAGUGUCUGGUGGGUAGUUUGACUGGGGCGGUCUCCUCCUAAAGAGUAACGGAGGAGCACGAAGGUUGGCUAAUCCUGGUCGGACAUCAGGAGGUUAGUGCAAUGGCAUAAGCCAGCUUGACUGCGAGCGUGACGGCGCGAGCAGGUGCGAAAGCAGGUCAUAGUGAUCCGGUGGUUCUGAAUGGAAGGGCCAUCGCUCAACGGAUAAAAGGUACUCCGGGGAUAACAGGCUGAUACCGCCCAAGAGUUCAUAUCGACGGCGGUGUUUGGCACCUCGAUGUCGGCUCAUCACAUCCUGGGGCUGAAGUAGGUCCCAAGGGUAUGGCUGUUCGCCAUUUAAAGUGGUACGCGAGCUGGGUUUAGAACGUCGUGAGACAGUUCGGUCCCUAUCUGCCGUGGGCGCUGGAGAACUGAGGGGGGCUGCUCCUAGUACGAGAGGACCGGAGUGGACGCAUCACUGGUGUUCGGGUUGUCAUGCCAAUGGCACUGCCCGGUAGCUAAAUGCGGAAGAGAUAAGUGCUGAAAGCAUCUAAGCACGAAACUUGCCCCGAGAUGAGUUCUCCCUGACUCCUUGAGAGUCCUGAAGGAACGUUGAAGACGACGACGUUGAUAGGCCGGGUGUGUAAGCGCAGCGAUGCGUUGAGCUAACCGGUACUAAUGAACCGUGAGGCUUAACCUU